GACGAACGCUGGCGGCGUGCUUAACACAUGCAAGUCGAACGGAAAGGCCCUGCUUUUGUGGGGUGCUCGAGUGGCGAACGGGUGAGUAACACGUGAGUAACCUGCCCUUGACUUUGGGAUAACUUCAGGAAACUGGGGCUAAUACCGGAUAGGAGCUCCUGCUGCAUGGUGGGGGUUGGAAAGUUUCGGCGGUUGGGGAUGGACUCGCGGCUUAUCAGCUUGUUGGUGGGGUAGUGGCUUACCAAGGCUUUGACGGGUAGCCGGCCUGAGAGGGUGACCGGCCACAUUGGGACUGAGAUACGGCCCAGACUCCUACGGGAGGCAGCAGUGGGGAAUAUUGCACAAUGGGCGGAGGCCUGAUGCAGCAACGCCGCGUGCGGGAUGACGGCCUUCGGGUUGUAAACCGCUUUCGCCUGCGACGAAGCGUGAGUGACGGUAAUGGGUAAAGAAGCACCGGCUAACUACGUG
rnacentral:rRNA from 1 species